CAGUCAUGCUAGUGAGGAAUCAACCUGAUGGUGUGUGGGUUCUCCCUCGUACUUUCCGGUGAAACUUCCUCACCCGGCAGGUUAGCCAUCAAUUUCGGUAUCAUAAAAAAUUUGAG
rnacentral:rRNA from 1 species